rnacentral:lncRNA from 1 species
ACACCUCAUUAUUCAAGCAUUAACAUUGGUAUUGGAUCAACCUCUUCUCAAACUAUUAACUAAGAUACUUGAGAGAUGAUGAAUUUACUCAACAUUGGAGAAUGCUCUAAAAGAUAAAACUUUUCUUCUCAACCGUCAACCAAGUGUUCUAUAUUUACAAUGACGAGCAUGUGGUGAAAUUUCAAACAAUUGAGAUGCUCUCAUCAUUGAAUCAAGUGAGGAAAUCCAUUAUAUAAGGUACACAAAAUUCUAGAUCUUAUAACAUUUGCAUUAUAUUAAGCUUGAAUACAUUUAUGCAAUGUUAUUAUGUGAUUGAUUUGAUGAUAUUGAAAUCUAGAAUUCAGUGUGAAAUUUUCUCUAUGCAAGUAUAUGACUUUAAAAGCUUAAAUUGCAUAUCAUUGUUUGUUAAUGACUAGUAUGUGCAUAUGCUUAAUUCAUAUCUUUAAUGCACUCUUUGUCCUUACACUUUUUCAUGAUUUUUGUUCAUAUAAUGUAAAAUCAUCUCUUUCAAAAUAUCAUGCUAAGUGUUAAAUGAAUGAACAUUGUUGCUAUGCAAAAUCAUCUUUCUACACCUUUGUAAGCAAUACAUUUUCAAAAAUGCUAUACUCAUAUUGCUAUCAAAGUUUUUGUUAAGGGUUAUUUUAUUAAGUUAGAUUUUCUCCAUAUGUCUUAGUCACAUUUUUUCAAUGAUCAAUUUUAUUUUGACAUACCAAAAGACAAUUUUAUUUUAAAUUAACACUUGUCUUAAUUUAUG